AUUUUUAAGGACCAAGCUCCACGUCCAAGAGCUCGGUUUAUAGGGGCCUCACAGGCCCCUCACUAUAGGGGUCAAGCCCAUAGGCAUUAAAAAAAGGUGGGGCCCGCCCCCACCUACUCUCUCACCUCGAAGCAAGCCCCCGUACUUGCAUCUUUUUCCCAUUUUUAAUCCCAUUAAUACUAUAUAUUAUCAAAGUAAAAAUGACAUCUUCAUUGUAACUUCACUCCUAAUAUUGAUCAAAUUAAAAAGCAUUUUCGGAUUUUCCAACAUAAAUGUGUUUCAAUUUAAAAUUGAAGAUAUCCCAUAUGAUUGUACUGCUUCAUUGGUGAUUAUAUUAAUCCAUUUUUUAUAGUGUAAAAGUAUGACAAUUAGAAUCUAUUGUUUCAUAUUAUGUUUCGUAACAAGCAUUAUGACAAAUUGAAUAUGUUGAUAAUAAAUGUCUCGUGUUUCAUGUCACGUGAUGUUCCUCACAAGUGAAACAUUUCAAAACCAUAUUGUAUAGUGCUUUCCAUUAGACGACAAAUGUCUAUUAUGCUUGCUUUACAUUCCAUGUACAAUGUAGUGCAAUACACUAUACUAAGAUGCCUCGACACCAGUGUCACAUGUAUCAUUCAAGACACGGUUCACUAUAUGCUCUCUAUUUCAAACGAACAUGAUGUAGGGCUUUCCAGUUUUUUGAAAUGUUCAAAUACAUACCAAC
rnacentral:lncRNA from 1 species